UCCCUCAUAGCUCAGUAGGUAAAGAAUCUGACUGCAAUGCAGGAGACCCAGGUUCGAUUCCUGGGUCGGGAA
rnacentral:tRNA from 1 species